AUUGAACGCUAGCGGCAUGCCUUACACAUGCAAGUCGAACGGCAGCACGGGGCAACCUGGUGGCGAGUGGCGAACGGGUGAGUAAUGCAUCGGAACGUGCCCAUCGAUGGGGGAUAACUGCGCGAAAGCGUUGCUAAUACCGCAUACCGACCUACGGGUGAAAGCAGGGGACCGCAAGGCCUUGCGUCGAUGGAGCGGCCGAUGCCGGAUUAGCUAGUUGGUGAGGUAAAGGCUCACCAAGGCGACGAUCCGUAGCUGGUCUGAGAGGACGACCAGCCACACUGGGACUGAGACACGGCCCAGACUCCUACGGGAGGCAGCAGUGGGGAAUCUUGGACAAUGGGGGAAACCCUGAUCCAGCCAUGCCGCGUGAGUGAUGAAGGCCCUAGGGUUGUAAACUCUUUCGGCGGGGACGAUAAUGACGGUACCCGCAGAAGAAGCUCCGGCUAACUUCGUG
rnacentral:rRNA from 1 species